AGCAGCCGCGGUAAUUCCAGCUCCAUAGCGUAUAUUAAAGUUGCUGCAGUUAAAAAGCUCGUAGUUGAAUUUCGGGAUCAUCAUGUCGGUCGUGCCUCGGUACGUACUGGCAUCGUUGAUUUCUCCCUUCUGACGAACCAUGAUGUCAUUUAUUUGGUGUUGUGGGGAAUCAGGACUGUUACUUUGAAAAAAUUAGAGUGUUUAAAGCAGGCUCACGCUUGAAUACAUUAGCAUGGAAUAAUGAAAUAGGACGUUUGAUUCUAUUUUGUUGGUUUCUAGGAUCGACGUAAUGAUUAAUAGGGAUAGUUGGGGGCAUUAGUAUUCAAUUGUCAGAGGUGAAAUUCUUGGAUCUAUUGAAGACUAACUACUGCGAAAGCAUUUGCCAAGGAUGUUUUCAUUAAUCAAGAACGAAAGUUAGGGGAUCGAAGACGGUCAGAUACCGUCGUAGUCUUAACCAUAAACUAUGCCGACUAGGGAUCGGAUGAUGUUAAUUUUUUAAUGACUCA
rnacentral:rRNA from 1 species